UUACUUAUCUGGCAGGGUAGACACCAUCAGGAAGGUGGUUCUCUGAGGAAGAGGGUGAGGCCCAUCCAUUGCACUUGGGAUGUGUUGACUCCUGUGAUUUCACCAAAUGGGGGAAACUCAGCUGCAUAAUUUGUGAUAGUGGGGACUGCAUUCAUGCUCUCCCCUU
ensembl:snRNA U1 U1 spliceosomal RNA